UGGCUAAUUUUUAAAGGAACAUAGACAAAGUGAGGCUAAUAAAGCACUUAUUUUCUCAAAUUGUUAAAAAAAAAUGGUGCAGUUAUAUCAUGACUAAUUCCACAAUGAAAAUGAAUACUGCAUAUUUUCUACUUUUAUAAAGAAGAAAAAGAAAAAGAAAAUGCAAGAAAUUUCUUGAAACUUUCACAUCUCUUUUGUGACCCAGAACUGUAAUGAGAGCAAUAGGCAGAAUGAAUGCUAUUACUGGAGGUUGUGUGUUUGACAUAUCAGCCUUUGCAUUUGCCUUCUAAAGUGGCGAUAUUGGUCAAGGAGAAAGCUCACAAAAUCUACGAAAUUAAUGAAGUCUAGACUUUUAAGGACUUGAAAAUGGAUGACAAGGAUGAUAAAAUACCUUGAAUUUUCAAGGGGAUUUUGGGAAAUUGUUCUCAGAACAAAAUGUAGAGUUUUAGUAGUUGACUUAUUUGUUCUUUGCUGAUAACAUGCUCUCCACAUACCCCAUCCCCAUCUCUCAAAUCACACAAUUUGUAUUUGGUGAGGAUAAAAAGAGAGUACUAGGAAAGUGAGGAUGGCUUACAAAAUCUUUGUACAGAAAUAAUUGAGUCAAGUGUAGACUUCAACAUUUCUGAUAUCAGUAGUUAAGAGGUAGAAAGUGAAAUCAAUAUUGUAUUUUAAAUUCUACCUAUAAUCUGUGUCUAUUUUUGUUAUCUCAAGUGCUAGGGACCAUGCUACAUGAGAGUCUGUCCUUGGUAACUGUAACAGUGAUUAUUCUCAAAGUUGGUUAAAAUAAACAGAAUGGAGCAUAUUGAAAUAGUGAGUGUCAAAAAUUCAAAAAGACUUGUUUGGAAAAAGAAUGCAUACUCCAUUUAGCCAAACAAAACAGCCCAUUAGCUCUUGCAUUACAAAUUUAACCAAGCAGAAUGAUUUUCUAUAUGGAUAGAAAUAAAUUUUUUCAUUAUUGAAGAACUAUGUU